GCGGAUGUGGCGAAAUUGGUAGACGCACUGGAUUUAGGUUCCAGCGCCGCAAGGUGUGAGAGUUCGAGUCUCUCCAUCCGCACCA
rnacentral:tRNA from 3 species